CAGGCAUCUACUCACCGGAUUCCAGUAGAACCAUGCAUAUCUCGUGAAGACCGAAUAUGUCCCCAGACAUUGCAACAUGUCCUCUGGGGGAGAGAAUCACCUCCAGGUGACAAUCGCUGCCUUUGAUGAUGGACAGAAGAGCAUCUACAAGAAAAAAAAAAAAUUCCUCCAGAUUUGUACUGUUCAACUGCUGAGAGGCACGUCCCGCGCCCUGACAUCAUUCUUUCCAGGUCACACCGUCAUCGGCCAACGUUUGCUCAGAAGGUGGGUCUCGGUUUCCUGACAGCAAAGCAACACUGAUGCUUCCUAUGAGGGCAUCCACUGGGCCUCCCAGGCCUGGUCUCGCACCCGCCUCCAGGAAAGGCGACUGAGCACCCACUCUGACCUUUCUGCCUCUGCCUUCUCGGCAGCACCACCUCCAGGUGGCCUGGAUUGGCGGCUGAGCAUACACUUCAACUUCAUGGAAGCAGAGCUCUUCCAGAAGCUUCUGCCUCCUUCGCUGGGCUUUCACCUGUGAAGACUCGACCCAGCUGCCCCAGCCCUAGGAGAAGAACCACUGCUCUCUCUGACUGUGGACUCUGAGCCGCCUCUCACCUUUGCACAAAGCUCUGGUGUGUUCUUGGCUCGUCUCCACUUCCCACAGAGCAAGUUUCCAGCAUGUUCCCUGCGUUACCAUGUAUAGCUAGCUGGUCUUGCUACAAGCAUGGGUGUGCUUGCCACCAUGCAUGGACGUGUGUGGGGGUCCAUGCCACCACCCCACAUGCUCAUGUGCCCACAGAUUUCCUCCCAACACCCCUGACAUACACACAAUGUCUUGGACUCCCAACAGGAUUCAGGACAUGUGAUAAUUCAUCACCAAUCACACCUUCCUCAGCAGACCACUUAUCUAGAAUGUCCCCUGAAGAUAUCAUGCACUACUUCUGUGUUUUGGGACGUGUUCCUAGAACCAGAGGUGACCAUGCUGUUCAUCAUCCAAAGUGAGAUGCAAAAGCAGAGCUUUUCAUACAUUCGCGGGCACAGGUGUGAAUCGGGACCGUCCCAGGCAAGCAAAGACACGCACGCAGGCCACCAAGUGGAGAAGGAAAUGAAAUGAAUUGUGGCAUAUGUAUGUAUACAGGCUGGAAUAUCAGCCGUAAAAUGGAAAGAAAUUGUGAUACAUCCUAUACCACGAAUGAACCUCAGAAACCUUAUCCACACACAAAGGAC
rnacentral:lncRNA from 1 species